rnacentral:rRNA from 1 species
CGGCGGACGGGUGAGUAAUGCCUAGGAAUCUGCCUGGUAGUGGGGGACAACGUUUCGAAAGGAACGCUAAUACCGCAUACGUCCUACGGGAGAAAGCAGGGGACCUUCGGGCCUUGCGCUAUCAGAUGAGCCUAGGUCGGAUUAGCUAGUUGGUGAGGUAAUGGCCCACCAAGGCGACGAUCCGUAACUGGUCUGAGAGGAUGAUCAGUCACACUGGAACUGANACACGGUCCAGACUCCUACGGGAGGCAGCAGGC